rnacentral:tRNA from 1 species
AGGAUUAGUUAAAUAAAAUAACAUUAGAAUGUCAAACUAAAAUUACUAAUAUAUUAGUAUUCUUUAAUUC